GAGCGCACCGCUGAGGAGGAAGAAGAGCUGGAGAAACAAAAGGCGGAGAUGGCCCUGCUGAUGGAGGACGAGGGCGAUGAAGCCAAACACAAACACUUUAAUUACGAUAAGAUCGUGGAGCAGCAGAAUCUGAGCCAGAAGAAGAAGAAGCUGCUGAAGAAGAAGGGGGAGGAGCUUCAGCAGGAAGACCAAUUCCAGGUGGAUGUGAAGGACCCUCGUUUCCAGGCCAUGUUCACCUCCCACCUCUUCAACCUGGACCCCUCCCACCC